rnacentral:lncRNA from 1 species
CAGUUCCUGUCUAUCCAUGCGGUCUGCCUCUUGCUCCUGAAAUCUCUAGACAUCUCGCAUCUUACCGAGCUGUUUUCUCUGUCUUAGCCACCGCCCAGCGCCAGGGCGCCAGGGCCUGCAACUGGCCUGAAGACUGAUGGAACUGUCCUUGUGAUGGAGUUGCUGGUUCUGCAGCAGCUACUGCCCUUCUUCUCUUGCAAGCCCAGGUCCAGGACCCUCACUCCCUCGUGGGCUUCUGUUCAGGGAGAGGAUGUCCCUGGCCUGUGUUUGACACUGCUAAAGAAACAGCACACUCAAGACUGUCACGGCCUCAGCAUCCUAUUGAAUGAAGCACUUCGUAACGGUUGGCAUAGCCGGUAGAACAAACAUGUCACCCCUGCCUUGGAAGACCUCCAGUCCCUCUCCUAGAGGAUUGUCAGCUGGUGGGUCCAGUGGCCCUAUGUCUUCAAGAAGAAGCUGGGCCAGGACACAUGUAAGGUCUCUCAUGAUCCAGAGGCUGUCAAAGGAGCCAAGCCUGCGGAGUCCAAGACCUUCAGGAAGGCUUGGAAACCAAGUGUGCUGAC